CCUACGGGUGGCAGCAGUGGGGAAUAUUGCACAAUGGGGGAAACCCUGAUGCAGCGACGCCGCGUGAGUGAAGAAGUAUUUCGGUACGUAAAGCUCUAUCAGCAGGGAAGAAAAUGACGGUACCUGACUAAGAAGCCCCGGCUAACUACGUGCCAGCAGCCGCGGUAAUACGUAGGGGGCAAGCGUUAUCCGGAUUUACUGGGUGUAAAGGGAGCGUAGACGGCAGCGCAAGUCUGGAGUGAAAUCCCAUGGCUUAACCAUGGAACUGCUUUGGAAACUGUGCAGCUAGAGUGCAGGAGAGGUAAGCGGAAUUCCUAGUGUAGCGGUGAAAUGCGUAGAUAUUAGGAGGAACACCAGUGGCGAAGGCGGCCUGCUGGGCUUUUACUGACGCUGAGGCUCGAAAGUGUGGGGAGCAAACAGGAUUAGAUACCCUUGUAGUC
rnacentral:rRNA from 1 species